rnacentral:lncRNA from 1 species
GCAAAACUAUGAAAAUUUCACAUAUUAUAAUCUCUUACCAUGCAUAAAGCACAAACCCUAGGUUUCAAAUAAAGCAUUUGAAUAUAAAAAGAAAAUGUUAAAACCCUAAAUUUCAAGAUUCAUAAGAACAUAAUUUAGGAAGAGAGCGUACCCAAAGCAUGUUCAUUGGCGAAGGCAAUGGAGGGAAAAAUCGGAAAUGUCAAGAAAACAAUGCAGAACAUGAGAAAACAUAUCCCGGCCGGUUUUGCAGCAGCCAUUGCUUCUGCAGUCAGGGUGGAAACUUGAAAAUACGGGAAAAUGGGAGGGUGUUUCUGCUAUUUCGAUGAUACGGGCUCGAAUUUUGUUUGAGCCUGAACUGAUGGGCCUUGCCCAGUCCAAGCGGCAAAUGCAACGUCGAUGAAUGUUCGGCCCAAUUGAGCCUAAGGUCAUGGACUUCUC